AGAGUUGUGUGUGUGUAUGAGUGACAGGUCUGCUGAUUGGAAAAAUGAAAUGAAUGCAGCGGGAUCUUUGAGGAGCUUGGGCUGCCAUCCAAACCUUCCUGCUUAGAAUGAUAUGAUUAUCGCUGAGGUGAUGUUCAUACAGACGGAUGGCCAUUCCAGGACGAGCCAUCAGGCCAAACUUGGUGAGACUUGCCCUCUACCUUAAAUAUAUGCUUAUGCGGGUGAGUGAAAUUAACAUGGUGAUUAUAUACUAAUAAACUGAUACUACUCAGAAGAAUGAUUUGUUACACAGAAUGGAAGACGUUUCAUUCACAGGACUGUGAGUACUGAAGAAUACUUGCCAGAGGAAUCCAUUCGAAAACUGGUCCUUGGUGGCACUUGUUCUGGAUGGGAAGAUGGGGAAUUAAAAUUGAAAUUCAUUUACGGCAUUUUAAAAUUCAUCUUUACUUUUUUUUGGUUUCAAUUAGAACUCACUGCCAUUCUUGUUCUCGUGUUUAAUAAUUUUUUUUACUCUAAAAUCUAUGGAAGUUAAUGGACAGAUUUACCUGGUUUUAUGUAUAUGAAUAUGUCUGUAAAUGUAUUUCUUUUACAUGCAGGCAAAAAUCUGAAUUCUUUUAGAUCAGAAUGG